AGCGAACGCUGGCGGCAGGCUUAACACAUGCAAGUCGAACGGGCGUAGCAAUACGUCAGUGGCAGACGGGUGAGUAACGCGUGGGAACGUACCUUUUGGUUCGGAACAACUGAGGGAAACUUCAGCUAAUACCGGAUAAGCCCUUACGGGGAAAGAUUUAUCGCCGAAAGAUCGGCCCGCGUCUGAUUAGCUAGUUGGUGAGGUAAUGGCUCACCAAGGCGACGAUCAGUAGCUGGUCUGAGAGGAUGAUCAGCCACAUUGGGACUGAGACACGGCCCAAACACCUACGGGUGGCAGCCUGAGACCCAAGGCACACAGGGGAUAGG
rnacentral:rRNA from 1 species